UUCCUCCUGUAGUUCUUAAUUUUUUAAGGCUAUUGGAGGGGGGAUUUGAUGAGCUUUUUGGUUCAGCGCGUAGGUGGAGAAACAACGGAGUGGUUGUUUUGAUUUCCCCCUUCAUAUUCCCGGCAUUUUCAACGCCCCCUCGGGGCACCUUCUUGUUAAGUGAUGUUGAUUUUGCCGUAACAAAACGGAGGGGCACACAAAAAUAAUGGACGCCCUUAUAAGCGUAAAAAAAAAAAAGGGUAUGAUGG